rnacentral:rRNA from 1 species
GGCCCUCAGUAGCGGCGAGUGAGCGGCAGAGCUCAGAUUUGAAUCGUGCUUUGCGGCACGUAGUUGUAGAUUGCAGGUUGGAGUCUGUGUGGAAGGCGGUGUCCAAGUCCCUUGGAACAGGGCGCCCAGGAGGGUGAGAGCCCCGUGGGAUGCCGGCGGAAGCAGUGAGGCCCUUCUGACGAGUCGAGUUGUUUGGGAAUGCAGCUCCAAGCGGGUGGUAAAUUCCAUCUAAGGCUAAAUACUGGCGAGAGACCGAUAGCGAACAAGUACUGUGAAGGAAAGAUGAAAAGCACUUUGAAAAGAGAGUGAAACAGCACGUGAAAUUGUUGAAAGGGAAGGGUAUUGCGCCCGACAUGGGGAUUGCGCACCGCUGCCUCUCGUGGGCGGCGCUCUGGGCUUUCCCUGG